UUUUUAAUAUAGUAACUGAUUCCUGUAAGCUUUGCAUUAAAAAUGCAGCAGGAGCCUCAAACUGUCAAGGUGGUCUGGAAGAAGGUAUAGAAGUUAUGCAGAAGGGGCUGUCUUUGGAGCAGAAAAAGGAGAUUUUAUUCUUUUUCCUGCAAGAGAGGAAGUGCUAAUUCUUUAUCUUGAGGAAAAGAUGAAAUAAAUCCAAAGUUGGGUGAAGUUGUUGAGAGCUUUCGGAAGAGUACCCUGAGCAGUCAGCCCUCAGAGAGGAAACAGCUGUAUUUGCAGCUCUCAGUUGAGCUUUUUCUUACUAAAAUAUAAAGACUUUUUUUAAUGGUGUACUUCCUUUCCUCUCCCCAUCCAAUCCUGAAGGAAUACUAGAUCUUGCAAGGACUUUUUUCACCCUAAGCUUUUUGAGCAAAUAUGUUUGGAGUUUUUAACUGGUACACAAUUAGCAGUGAAUCAUAAAUGGAUGUGCAAUUUCAGAGGUAUGCAGGGGAGGCCUAAACCUGUUUAAUUUAGCUUAAUAAUGCUGCAAACACAGUUGUGUAUUUUAGAACCUUGUUCUGUGAAAAUGUGUUUUUGUUUGGGAGUUUUCCCAUUACCUUCUUGACAUAUGCAUGGUUACAGAUGAAUAGCCUGACCCAGUGCCCCAGCGGGGAGAGCGGCGUGGCUGUGCUUUCAAUAGGCAUGUCUCUGACAAAGGAAACAUAUGGAAUAUUUCAUUCCCGUCUUUGCAAGGGCAGAGGGCUGGGGGCUUCAAACUUCGUGGUAGAUUGGUAAGCUAGCCACAGUUUUUGCUGUGAGCCCUAAAAAAGCUCUUGCCAAUGGCAUCAUGCUUUGCUGUGGGACCAGAACCCUGGGUGUAGAGCAAAGCUCUUUUGGCAUUGCAGUAUUAGUAAUGUGACCAUGCAGUAGAGUUCACCAUGGUCACCUCUCUUUCUUCUACAUGGUACCGAGCGAUGUCUAGUAGGAAGCAUUCCAGAAGGGGGUUUGGAACUAGAUGAACUUUAAGAUCCCUUCCAACCCAAACCAUUCUAUGAUUCUUGGUGGAUAGUCAUUCAUGAAGUGCUUUCUGAUGAUAUGUACUGUUGACUUACUACCACCAUUUAAUA